UACGUAGGGGGCAAGCGUUGUCCGGAAUCAUUGGGCGUAAAGCGCGUGUAGGCGGUCCGGUAAGUCCGCUGUGAAAGUCGGGGGCUCAACCCUCGGAUGCCGGUGGAUACGGUCGGGCUUGAGUACGGGAGAGGCGAGUGGAAAUUCCUGGUGUAGCGGUGAAAUGCGUAGAUAUCUGGAGGAACACCGGUGGCGAAGGCGGCAUCCUGGACCGGUAUUGACGCUGAGGCACGAAAGCCAGGGGAGCAAACGGG
rnacentral:rRNA from 1 species